CGCAGUUCGCAUUUCAAUCCGACAAAUAGAUUUAGUAGGCAUUAUAUUUUAUACGUAGACACACGCCGAUUUUUAUAUUUGUUGUAAUCUGCAUCAUACACAUAUAUCUUUUAUACAUAUAGUACCGCGAAACCUAUGUUGUCCUCUGUGCAUGCAUAUCCGCCUUGGAAAACUAACAAAACUAAUAUAUAACAAAACGAAUCAAACUGAAAUUUAUAAUUUAAUACGUGUUUCUCAUAAUAUUAUUUAGGUGUCUACCUGUAUUGCAGGCUGUACCAUAGCAAUCUCCAGCACAGCGUUGUCCGUGACAACCAAAUUAAUUUUAAUAAAGUUUACAUGGUAUGCCCGUGACAACCAAACUAUUAUGAAAUAAUAAUAAUGUUAUAAUCGCGUAGACUUUUUCUUUUUAUUACUAUGUU